CAAGUCACUUUUUAGUGACUUGGUCACUUUUUUCAAUCUGGUCACUAAAAAGUCACUAU
rnacentral:pre_miRNA from 1 species